rnacentral:rRNA from 1 species
AUGCCUUCUGUAGUGAAGAACAAGCCAGUUGUUCUACCUAACACUAGUGUGGCUUCACUUAGAAGUGAGAAGCCUGACAAUAUACCUGCUUCUAUGUCAACUUAUCAACCUUCUCAGCCACCAACUGCUAACAUUGCACCUAGUGCAAUCACUGUUGCGGAAUCAAUUGCAUUGGUCACUCCUGGACAGCUUCUGGCAACUAAUUUCUCGACUUCAUCACAGACCAUGCAAAGUACUGUUGUGGCUCCAUCUUAUAAGUAUCCACCAGUGGUUUCAUCCUCUCAGACUGGCUCUACGGCUCCAUCCACUCCAUCUUAUAAGUCUCCUUCUGUGGUUUCAUCCUCUCAGAUUGCCUCUACAGCUCCAUGCGCACAUGCCAAUUCUUCUGCAGGUUCACGCUCGUAG